rnacentral:rRNA from 1 species
CCUACGGGAGGCAGCAGUGAGGAAUAUUGGUCAAUGGACGCAAGUCUGAACCAGCCAAGUAGCGUGCAGGAUGACGGCCCUCCGGGUUGUAAACUGCUUUUAGUUGGGAAUAAAAGGGGGCUCGUGGGCCCCGUAUUGUAUGUACCAUCCGAAAAAGGACCGACUAAUUCCGUGCCGGCCGCCGCGGUAAUACGGAAGGUCCGGGCGUUAUCCGAAUUUGUUGGGUUUAAAGGGAGCGUAGGUGGAUUGUUCAGUCAGUUGUGAAAGUUUGCGGCUCAACCGUAAAAGUUCAGUUGAAACUGGCAGUCUUGAGUACAGUAGAGGUGUGCGGAAUUCGUGGGGUCGCGGUGAAAUGCUUAGAGAUCACGAAGAACUCCGAUUGCGAAGGCAGCUCACUGGACUGCAACUGACACUGAGGCUCGAAAGUGUGGGUAUCAAACAGGAUUAGAUACCCCAGUAGUC